UACGUAGGGCGCAAGCGUUGUCCGGAAUUAUUGGGCGUAAAGAGCUCGUAGGCGGCUUGUCACGUCGGGUGUGAAAAGCCCGGGGCUUAACCCCCGGGUCUGCAUUCGAUACGGGCUAGCUAGAGUGUGGUAGGGGGAGAUCGGAAUUCCUGGUGUAGCGGUGAAAUGCGCAGAUAUCAGGAGGAACACCGGUGGCGAAGGCGGAUCUCUGGGCCGACACUGACGCUGAGGCGCGAAAGCGUGGGGAGCAAACAGG
rnacentral:rRNA from 1 species